UUGCUUUGGCAGCAUAGAUACUAAGAUCAGAAUAUUCAGACAAGGUUAGCAUGGCCCUGUGCAAGGCUGACAUGCAAAUUUGUGAAGUAUUCCCCUGAAAA
rnacentral:snRNA from 1 species